CCGGGAAAAGAUAUUUUUUUUUUAAAAAAACCCUCUUUUUGGGGGGGCACGCCCUUUAUAAACACCCCCCUCUUUCGGGGUCUCCCCCCAAAAAACCGCGGGAUUUUUUUUCCCCCCCCGCCGUGUUAUAUAAAGGGGGGCGGGUUUUUUCGGUAUUUUUUGAGUCGUAACAAGGUAACCGUAUAGUUUGAUCCUGUCUCAGGAUGAACGCUGGCGGCGUGCCUAAUACAUGCAAGUCGAGCGAAUGGAUUAAGAGCUUGCUCUUAUGAAGUUAGCGGCGGACGGGUGAGUAACACGUGGGUAACCUACCCAUAAGACUGGGAUAACUCCGGGAAACCGGGGCUAAUACCGGAUAAUAUUUUGAACUGCAUAGUUCGAAAAUGAAAGGCGGCUUCGGCUGUCACUUAUGGAUGGACCCGCGUCGCAUUAGCUAGUUGGUGAGGUAACGGCUCACCAAGGCAACGAUGCGUAGCCGACCUGAGAGGGUGAUCGGCCACACUGGGAAUGAGACACGGCCCAGACUCCUACGGGAGGCAGCAGUAGGGAAUCUUCCGCAAUGGACGAAAGUCUGACGGAGCAACGCCGCGUGAGUGAUGAAGGCUUUCGGGUCGUAAAACUCUGUUGUUAGGGAAGAACAAGUGCUAGUUGAAUAAGCUGGCACCUUGACGGUACCUAACCAGAAAGCCACGGCUAACUACGUGCCAGCAGCCGCGGUAAUACGUAGGUGGCAAGCGUUAUCCGGAAUUAUUGGGCGUAAAGCGCGCGCAGGUGGUUUCUUAAGUCUGAUGUGAAAGCCCACGGCUCAACCGUGGAGGGUCAUUGGAAACUGGGAGACUUGAGUGCAGAAGAGGAAAGUGGAAUUCCAUGUGUAGCGGUGAAAUGCGUAGAGAUAUGGAGGAACACCAGUGGCGAAGGCGACUUUCUGGUCUGUAACUGACACUGAGGCGCGAAAGCGUGGGGAGCAAACAGGAUUAGAUACCCUGGUAGUCCACGCCGUAAACGAUGAGUGCUAAGUGUUAGAGGGUUUCCGCCCUUUAGUGCUGAAGUUAACGCAUUAAGCACUCCGCCUGGAUCGCCCCC
rnacentral:rRNA from 1 species